CCUCUCAUGGCGUAGUGGUAACGCGCCCCAACUAGAGAUCGGGGAGUCGUUAGUUCGAUUCUCACUGAGAGGA
rnacentral:tRNA from 1 species